rnacentral:rRNA from 1 species
GACGAACGCUGGCGGCGUGCUUAACACAUGCAAGUCGAACGGAAAGGCCUGCUUUCCCUCGUGGAUUGCGGGUACUCGAGUGGCGAACGGGUGAGUAACACGUGAGUGAUCUGCCCCCAACUUGGGUAUAAGCCUGGGAAACUGGGUCUAAUUCCCGAUAGGACUGCAGGGUGGUGCCUGUGGUGGAAAACGAUUUUCUAGUGGUUGGGGAUGAGCUCGCGGCCUAUCAGCUUGUUGGUGGGGUAAUGGCCUACCAAGGCGGCGACGGGUAGCCGGCCUGAGAGGGUGGACGGCCACAUUGGGACUGGGAUACGGCCCAGACUCCUACGGGAGGCAGCAGUGGGGAAUAUUGCACAAUGGGCGGAAGCCUGAUGCAGCGACGCCGCGUGGGGAUGACGGCCUUCGGGUUGUAAACUCCUUUCGACCGCGAGGAAGCCACCUGGUUGGAAGGGUGGUGACGGUAGUGGUAGAAGAAGCACCGGCUAACUACGUG